GCCCGUGGUCGAGUGGUAACGCUCACGACUUUGAUUCGUCAGGUCGUGGGUUCGAGGCCUGCCACGGCUUGAGGCU